UGACCUCUGUCAUGUUCGCAAGGAGAUUAUUCUCGAACCGACUCCAUUUCUUGAGGGAGCCAAAUAGCUGCUGAUCAAGGUUGAACCUACAUAGUAUUUGGGUAUACCGAGACAGCGGUGCGGUUCCCACCUGAGCCUGCGGGUUCAGAAUGCAAGAUCCGUGCGGCAUUGCGAUGGAGGUCUU
rnacentral:other from 1 species